GACGAACGCUGGCGGCGUGCUUAACACAUGCAAGUCGAACGCUGAAGCUUGGUGCUUGCACUGGGUGGAUGAGUGGCGAACGGGUGAGUAAUACGUGAGUAACCUGCCCUUGACUCUGGGAUAAGCCUGGGAAACUGGGUCUAAUACUGGAUACGACAUGCCACUGCAUGGUGGUGUGUGGAAAGGGUUUUACUGGUUUUGGAUGGGCUCACGGCCUAUCAGCUUGUUGGUGGGGUAAUGGCCUACCAAGGCGACGACGGGUAGCCGGCCUGAGGGGGUGACCGGCCACACUGGGACUGAGACACGGCCCAGACUCCUACAGGAGGCAGCAGUUGGGAAUAUUGCACAAUGGGCGGAAGCCUGAUGCAGCGACGCCGCGUGAGGGAUGACGGCCUUCGGGUUGUAAACCUCUUUCAGCACGGAAGAAGCGAGAGUGACGGUACGUGCAGAAGAAGCGCCGGCUAACUACGUG
rnacentral:rRNA from 1 species